UACGUAGGUGGCGAGCGUUAUCCGGAAUGAUUGGGCGUAAAGGGUGCGUAGGCGGCCUGCUAAGUCUGGAGUGAAAGGUACCGGCUCAACCGGUACAGGCUCUGGAACUGGCGGGCUAGAGAGCAGGAGAGGGCGGUGGAACUCCAUGUGUAGCGGUAAAAGUGCGUAGAUAUAUGGAAGAACACCAGUGGCGAAGGCGGCCGCCUGGC
rnacentral:rRNA from 1 species